rnacentral:rRNA from 1 species
AUUGAACGCUGGCGGCAGGCCUAACACAUGCAAGUCGAACGAGUGGCGGACGGGUGAGUAAUGUCUGGGAAACUGCCUGAUGGAGGGGGAUAACUACUGGAAACGGUCGCUAAUACCGCAUACCCUCGGAUGUGCCCAGAGGGGAUUAGCUAGUAGGUGGGGUAAAGGCUCACCUAGGCGACGACCCCUAGCUGGUCUGAGAGGGUGACCAGCCACACUGGAACGGAGGCACGGGCCAGACUCCUACGGGAGGCAGCAGUGGGGAAGAUUGCACAAUGGGCGCAAGCCUGAUGCAGCCAUGCCGCGUGUAUGAAGAAGGCCUUCGGGUUGUAAAGUACUUUCGGCGGGGAGGCGUUACCCGCAGAAGAAGCACCGGCUAACUCCGAGCCAGCAGCCGCGGUAAUUC